rnacentral:rRNA from 1 species
AAUGAACGCUGGCGGCAGGCCUAAAACAUGCAAGUCGAACGCCCUAGCAAUAGGGAGUGGCGCACGGGUGCGUAACAUGUGGGAAUAUGCCUUUUGGUACGGAACAACGUUUGGAAACGAACGCUAAUACCGUAUGGUCCCUUCGGGGUAAAGAUUUAUCGCCAAAAGAUUAGCCCGCACUGGAUUAGCUAGUUGGUGAGGUAAUGGCUCACCAAGGCGACGAUCCAUAGCUGGACUGAGAGGAAGAUCAGCCACACUGGGACUGAGACACGGCCCAGACUCCUACGGGAGGCAGCAGUUAGGAAUAUUGGACAAUGGGCGCAAGCCUGAUCCAGCCAUGCCGCGUGAGUGAUGAAGGCCUUCGGGUUGUAAAGCUCUUUAGCCGACGAUUAUAAUGACUGUAGUCGGAGAAUAAGCCCCGGCUAACUUCGUGCCAGCCGCCGCGGUAA